ensembl:lncRNA
GUUCGAGGCCAGCCAGCAUCAAUAUCCCUUGCCCCCCGAGUGAAGAUGANGGGACCAUGCCCAGCGGCAGUUUUAUCAUCAUCUCCCAGAGAGAGCUGCCUCAGAUCCCCUCCGCGGAUCAGCUCUCCCUCGGACUAACUUACUCAAACCUGAAUUUCCCGGCUCAAGUGCANGAGAUCCUGUAUGAAUCAGUGGCAGUGACGAGAGAUGCCAAUGAAGAACGCAGCGGGGCGGAGGGUGUCCCUAGGGAUGAAGAGGAUGGGGCAGCAGGAGUCAAGUACGCCUGUGUGCUGAAGGGGAAAAAGAAGAAGAACCAAACCGGAUCAGAGCCGGGGGCCUCCCAGGCAACAGAAGAGCCGGCUUCACCAUCCAAGGCCGUUCAGGUUGAGGAAAUGUAUUCCGUAGUGUGCAAGGACCGGAAGAAGAAAGCCAAAGGUUCUGACCAAUGCAGUGAGGAGAAAGGGCUCCACNUGGAGAAGAGGCAAGGGAACUGCCACGUGGGAACUGUCCAUCAGGAGCAGGACAAGAGGGCCAGGCACCAGCCCCCGGUGCCCCCCCCUCCCAUUGUGGAACCCUGCUAUGAGGCCGUCAGCAGCGAAUCCUGGGCGAGCUCUGGCCGGAAACCGUCCACGGAACCCGCUUACGAGACAGUAGAUACCUUCUGGAAAAGCAAAAGCCAUAAAGCCAAGCCCAGCAAGAACGUGCAGGCCGAAAAUCUGUAUGAAAGCAUCGAAAACUUGUCGUGUCGCCUGCCAGCUCAAAAGCUCCCCCCUUAUUUUGGAGUCUAACUCUCCCCCCCCCCCCCGGCCUUUGCUCCAAUCUGAACGCAGAGAUCGCUUUUGUUCUGAAUCCAGGAUAACAUUUGCUCGGUGUUACUGGGCAGCAGCACUCCGGGCUAGCAAUGCUCUCUAGUCCACAAGGAACGCCAGCAGUAGUAGCCGAUAUGGGGAAACACAGCUAGAAGCUCCUCCCCCUGAUGAGCCUCGAACCAGCGCUCAGCAGGGAGACGAGCUUCCGGCUGUGCUUCGCUCUGCUGGCUGCUACUGGCCGUAACCCUGGUGGCUUUCAGGACCUUCCCAACUCUGGCCCCCAACUUCAGUUCCAAGGAUGCCCAACGGUUGCCCCAGGNCCGUCAGAGUGCAGUAGGAGCUGCAGUUCAGGAACCUCUGCAGGGGUGACGUUGAGCGCCCCUGCUGUACUCCCUCAGUCCUAGGACANAGGGCACAGCCAAGGGAAGCCUGCGUCUCUUUCGAAGCAAACACAUCUGCGAGAGGAAGACAAGGGGCCUGUUCGCACUGAGCUCNGUAGUCCGUUCCCAGUAGUUGGCUUCGGGCCGGAGGGGUUGGAGAACGCUGGCUGCCCUUCGCACUCCCAGCCAGAGGAACGGACCCAAAGCCGACCAGCAGAGGGAACAGUGUGAAUGGCAGCCGCUAGUUCCAUACCGCACUCCGUACCAUCGAGCUCCGCUUCGUACCAUCGUACUCCGCUUCGUAACCAGACGGCUCCUUAUGGAGCCGGCUUCGUAACGGCAGUUAGGCUGCCAUGCCCAAACGGCUAUCCCGGGCACGAAGCACCAGACCAGGGUAUGAAGCACUGGACCGGGGUGUGAAGCUUCGUACCACGCAUGCGCAGCCGCGCCAGCCCCGCCCGGCCGCCAUUUCAAACGCCGACGGGAGUGCGAAAGCACCAUGCCCGAUCUUCGCUCCAUCGUGCAGGUCGGGANGAAGACAUCUUUUUUGUUGUCUUGCCUUAUCCAACAUCGGGUUCGAAUCGGGUACGGAGUGGUUC